GACGAACGCUGGCGGCGUGCCUAAUACAUGCAAGUCGAGCGCAGGAAGCCGUCUAAACCCUUCGGGGGGACGACGGUGGAAUGAGCGGCGGACGGGUGAGUAACACGUAAAGAACCUGCCCAUAGGUCUGGGAUAACCACGAGAAAUCGGGGCUAAUACCGGAUGUGUCAUCGGACCGCAUGGUCCGCUGAUGAAAGGUGCUCCGGCGUCGCCCAUGGAUGGCUUUGCGGUGCAUUAGCUAGUUGGUGGGGUAACGGCCCACCAAGGCGACGAUGCAUAGCCGACCUGAGAGGGUGAUCGGCCACACUGGGACUGAGACACGGCCCAGACUCCUACGGGAGGCAGCAGUAGGGAAUCUUCCACAAUGGACGAAAGUCUGAUGGAGCAACGCCGCGUGAACGAUGAAGGCUUUCGGGUCGUAAAGUUCUGUUGUAAGGGAAGAACAAGUGCCGCAGGCAAUGGCGGCACCUUGACGGUACCUUGCGAGAAAGCCACGGCUAACUACGUGCCAGCCGCCGCCGUAACAC
rnacentral:rRNA from 1 species